rnacentral:rRNA from 1 species
AACGAACGCUGGCGGCAUGCCUAACACAUGCAAGUCGAACGAGACCUUCGGGUCUAGUGGCGCACGGGUGCGUAACGCGUGGGAAUCUGCCCUUGGGUUCGGAAUAACAGCGAGAAAUUGCUGCUAAUACCGGAUGAUGACGUAAGUCCAAAGAUUUAUCGCCCAAGGAUGAGCCCGCGUAGGAUUAGCUAGUUGGUGAGGUAAAGGCUCACCAAGGCGACGAUCCUUAGCUGGUCUGAGAGGAUGAUCAGCCACACUGGGACUGAGACACGGCCCAGACUCCUACGGGAGGCAGCAGUGGGGAAUAUUGGACAAUGGGCGAAAGCCUGAUCCAGCAAUGCCGCGUGAGUGAUGAAGCCUUAGGUUGUAAAGCUCUUUACCCGGGAUGAUAAUGACAGUACCGGGAGAAUAAGCUCCGGCUAACUCCGUGCCAGCAGCCGCGGUAAU